rnacentral:rRNA from 1 species
AACGAACGCUGGCGGCAGGCUUAACACAUGCAAGUCGAACGCCCCGCAAGGGGGGUGGCAGACGGGUGAGUAACGCGUGGGAAUCUACCGUGCCCUGCGGAAUAGCUCCGGGAAACUGGAAUGAAUACCGCAUACGCCCUACGGGGGAAAGAUUUAUCGGGGUAUGAUGAGCCCGCGUUGGAUUAGCAAGUUGGUGGGGGAAAGGCCUACCAAGGCGACGAUCCAUAGCUGGUCUGAGAGGAUGAUCAGACACAUUGGGACUGGGACACGGCCCAAACUCCUACGGGAGGCAGCAGUGGGGAAUAUUGGACAUGGGGCGAAAGCCUGAUCCAGCCAUGCCGCGUGAGUGAUGAAGGCCUUAGGGUUGUAAAGCUCUUUCACCGGAGAAGAUAAUGACGGUAUCCGGAGAAGAAGCCCCGGCUAACUUCGUGCCAGCCGCCGCCGUAACAC